UACGUAGGGUGCGAGCGUUAAUCGGAAUUACUGGGCGUAAAGCGUGCGCAGGCGGUUCGUCGUGUCCGAUGUGAAAGCCCCGGGCUCAACCUGGGAAUGGCAUUGGAAACUGGCGGACUCGAGUGUGGCAGAGGGGGGGUGGAAUUCCGCGUGUAGCAGUGAAAUGCGUAGAGAUGCGGAGGAACACCGAUGGCGAAGGCAGCCCCCUGGGCUACACCUGACGCUACAG
rnacentral:rRNA from 1 species